GUACGGAAGGCAGCAGUGGGGAAUUUUGGACAAUGGGGGAAACCCUGAUCCAGCCAUGCCGCGUGGGUGAAGAAGGCCUUCGGGUUGUAAAGCCCUUUCGGCGGAGACGAAACGGUUUGCACUAACACUGCAGACUAAUGACGGUAUCCGCAGAAGAAGCACCGGCUAACUACGUGCCAGCAGCCGCGGUAAUACGUAGGGUGCGGGCGUUAAUCGGAAUUACUGGGCGUAAAGCGUGCGCAGGCGGUUUGUUAAGACAGAUGUGAAAUCCCCGGGCUUAACCUGGGAACUGCGUUUGUUACUGGCAAGCUAGAGUGUGGCAGAGGGGGGUGGAAUUCCAAGUGUAGCAGUGAAAUGCGUAGAUAUUUGGAGGAACACCGAUGGCGAAGGCAGCCCCCUGGGCUAACACUGACGCUCAUGCACGAAAGCGUGGGGAGCAAACAGGAUUAGAUACCCCGGUAGC
rnacentral:rRNA from 1 species